UACAGAGGGUGCAAGCGUUGUUCGGAAUCAUUGGGCGUAAAGGGCGUGUAGGCGGUUUGUUAAGUCAUGUGUGAAAUCCUGGAGCUCAACUCCAGAACUGCCUUUGAUACUGAAGAUCUUGAGUUCGGGAGAGGUGAGUGGAACUGCGAGUGUAGAGGUGAAAUUCGUAGAUAUUCGCAAGAACACCAGUGGCGAAGGCGGCUCACUGGCCCGAUACUGACGCUGAGGCACGAAAGCGUGGGGAGCAAACAGG
rnacentral:rRNA from 1 species